AGGAAAGCCUCAAGGUUAAUAGCCUUGGGGGAGGACGUUACCCAAAGAAUAAGCACCGGCUAACUCCGUGCCAGCAGCCGCGGUAAUACGGGGGGUGCAAGCGUUAAUCGGAAUUACUGGGCGUAAAGGGUCUGUAGGUGGUUUGUUAAGUCAGAUGUGAAAGCCCAGGGCUCAACCUUGGAACUGCAUUUGAUACUGGCAAACUAGAGUACGGUAGAGGAAUGGGGAAUUUCUGGUGUAGCGGUGAAAUGCGUAGAGAUCAGAAGGAACACCAAUGGCGAAGGCAACAUUCUGGACCGAUACUGACACUGAGGGACGAAAGCGUGGGGAUCAAACAGGAUUAGAUACCCUGGUAGUCCACGCUGUAAACGAUGAGUACUAGCUGUUGGAGUCGGUGUAAAGGCUCUAGUGGCGCAGCUAACGCGAUAAGUACUCCGCCUGGGGACUACGGCCGCAAGGCUAAAACUCAAAGGAAUUGACGGGGACCCGCACAAGCGGUGGAGCAUGUGGUUUAAUUCGAUGCAACGCGAAGAACCUUACCUGGUCUUGACAUCCUGCGAACUUUCUAGAGAUAGAUUGGUGCCUUCGGGAGCGCAGUGACAGGUGCUGCACGGCUGUCGUCAGCUCGUGUUGUGAAAUGUUGGGUUAAGUCCCGCAACGAGCGCAACCCCUAUUGAUAGUUACCAUCAUUAAGUUGGGUACUCUAUUGAGACUGCCGCUGACAAGGCGGAGGAAGGUGGGGACGACGUCAAGUCAUCAUGGCCCUUACGACCAGGGCUACACACGUGCUACAAUGGGUAUUACAGAGGGCUGCGAAGGUGCGAGCUGGAGCGAA
rnacentral:rRNA from 1 species